UGAGGAAUAUUGGGCAAUGCCCGCAAGGGUGACCCAGCAACGCCGCGUGGAGGAUGAAUGUCGUAAGAUUGUAAACUCCUGUUAGAGGGGAAGAAUAGUACCGGUUGGACCGGUAUAUGACUGUACCCUCAGAGAAAGCCCCGGCUAACUACGUGCCAGCAGCCGCGGUAAUACGUAGGGGGCAAGCGUUGUCCGGAUUUACUGGGUGUAACGGGCGCGCAGGCGGGAUAAAAAGUCAGUGGUGAAAUCCUACAGCUUAACUGUAGAACUGCCUUUGAUACUUUUAUUCUUGAGUUCGGGAGAGAGAGACGGAAUUCCAGGUGUAGUGGUGAAAUACGUAGAUAUCUGGAAGAACACCAGUUGCGAAGGCGGUCUCUUGGUCCGACACUGACGCUGAGGCGCGAAAGCGUGGGGAGCAA
rnacentral:rRNA from 1 species